rnacentral:lncRNA from 1 species
AUGAGUUCCUGUCAAGGUAGCAGCUACUCUUCCUGGGGUUUAUUAUGGAUCCCCAUUAGUUCCUGUCAAGGCAGCAGCUACUCUUCCUGGGGUUUAUUAUGGAUCCCCAUUAGUUCCUGCCAAGGCAGCAGCUACUCUUCCUGGGGUUUAUUAUGGAUCCCCAUGAGUUCCUGCCAAGGCAGCAGCUACUCUUCCUGGGGUUUAUUAUGGAUCCCCGUUAGUUCCUGUCAAGGCAGCAGCUACUCUUCCUGGGGUUUAUUAUGGAUCCCCAUGAGUUCCUGUCAAGGUAGCAGCUACUCUUCCUGGGGUUUAUUAUGGAUCCCCAUUAGUUCCUGUCAAGGCAGCAGCUACUCUUCCUGGGGUUUAUUAUGGAUCCCCAUUAGUUCCUGCCAAGGCAGCAGCUACUCUUCCUGGGGUUUAUUAUGGAUCCCCAUUAGUUCCUGCCAAGGCAGCAGCUACUCUUCCUGGGGUUUAUUAUGGAUCCCCAUGAGUUCCUGCCAAGGCAGCAGCUACUCUUCCUGGGGUUUAUUAUGGAUCUCCAUUAGUUCCUGCCAAGGCAGCAGCUACUCUUCCUGGGGUUUAUUAUGGAUCCCCAUUAGUUCCUGUCAAGGCAGCAGCUACUCUUCCUGGGGUUUAUUAUGGAUCCCCGUUAGUUCCUGUCAAGGCAGCAGCUACUCUUCCUGGGGUUUAUUAUGGAUCCCCACUAGUUCCUGCCAAGGCAGCAGCUACUCUUCCUGUGGUUUAUUAUGGAUCCCCAUUAGUUCCUGCCAAGGCAGCAGCUACUCUUCCUGGGGUUUAUUAUGGAUCCCCAUUAGUUCCUGCCAAGGCAGCAGCUACUCUUCCUGGGGUUUAUUAUGGAUCCCCAUUAGUUCCUGUCAAGGCAGCAGCUACUCUUCCUGGGGUUUAUUAUGGAUCCCCAUUAGUUCCUGUCAAGGCAGCAGCUACUCUUCCUGGGGUUUAUUAUGGAUCCCCAUUAGUUCCUGUCAAGGCAGCAGCUACUCUUCCUGGGGUUUAUUAUGGAUCCCCAUUAGUUCCUGUCAAGGCAGCAGCUACUCUUCCUGGGGUUUAUUAUGGAUCCCCAUUAGUUCCUGUCAAGGCAGCAGCUACUCUUCCUGGGGUUUAUUAUGGAUCGCCAUUAGUUCCUGCUAA